UUAUUGGUGUAAUUAACUGUUCCAGCAGCUUUUCCUUGACAUUUAUCUGCAAAAUACUCAAAAUAAACAAAUAGAGAUUGUUUAUCUGACCUGUUUUCAACUGGUCUUAGCUUAUUUAUUUCUCUACAGCCAAACUGGCUUCACACCACAAUCGCCUGGAUUGCCUUAAUGUUGUUUAUUGUAGCCUCAAGAGAUCAAACCAAAAUAGACUCGUUUUCAGGAUUAUUGUUUUGUCCCACUGCUUUCUUUUGGCCUUCCCUCCAGUGAUGAAUGAGAAAUCUCCUUUAUUUCAAGUCAUCUACUACGUCAUCUGGACAGCUGGCCAAUCGCAAACAUGACAAGAUCCCUGCUCGUGAGAUCAUCAGAUUUAGAGGUCUACUUGUCCAGCUGCUGCAGUUUGGACAGAGACACCAGCAUCACCUACAGACCAACAAGUAUCACCACUUUGUCAAUGACAUCGUCCACAAUCGCAGAGACAUGGUCCAUGAUCGGAGAGACAUUGUUGAGGAUGAGGGAGAGAUCGUCCACGAUCAGAGACAUUGUCCAUGAUCGCAGAGACCUUGUCAAAGAUGAGAGAGACGUUGUCCAUGAUCAGAGACAUUGUCCAUGCUUCGUAGAGACCUUGCGAUAGAAUCGGCGGAGACGGGGGUCACCGAUUUGACGGCACUGCCCGCGAUCAGGGACAUUGUCAAUGACCAUAGAGACACCGUCUAUGAUCUCAGAGACAUCGUCCACGAUCACAAAGACAUAGUCCAUGAUCACAGAGACUUUGUCCAUAAUCUCAGAGACAUUGUCCGCGAUCACAGAGACGUAGUCCACGAUCACAGAGAUAUAGUCCAAGAUCACAGAGAGUCUUCGUACAAUGAAGAAAUUCUUUCAUACCAAGACAGAGACCUCCAGGUAUCACCACUUUGUCAAUGACAUCGUCCACAAUCGCAGAGACAUGGUCCAUGAUCGGAGAGACAUUGUUGAGGAUGAGGGAGACAUCGUCCACGAUCAGAGACAUUGUCCAUGAUCGCAGAGACCUUGUCAAAGAUGAGAGAGACGUUGUCCAUGAUCAGAGACAUUGUCCAUGCUUCGUAGAGACCUUGCGAUAGAAUCGGCGGAGACGGGGGUCACCGAUUUGACGGCACUGCCCGCGAUCAGGGACAUUGUCAAUGACCAUAGAGACACCGUCUAUGAUCUCAGAGACAUCGUCCACGAUCACAAAGACAUAGUCCAUGAUCACAGAGACUUUGUCCAUAAUCUCAGAGACAUUGUCCGCGAUCACAGAGACAUAGUCCACGAUCACAGAGAUAUAGUCCAAGAUCACAGAGAGUCUUCGUACAAUGAAGAAAUUCUUUCAUACCAAGACAGAGACCUCCAGGUAUCACCACUUUGUCAAUGACAUCGUCCACAAUCGCAGAGACAUGGUCCAUGAUCGGAGAGACAUUGUUGAGGAUGAGGGAGACAUCGUCCACGAUCAGAGACAUUGUCCAUGAUUGCAGAGACCUUGUCAAAGAUGAGAGAGACAUUGUCCAUGCUUCGUAGAGACCUUGCGAUAGAAUCGGCGGAGACGGGGGUCACCGAUUUGACGGCACUGCCCGCGAUCAGGGACAUUGUCAAUGGCCAUAGAGACACCGUCUAUGAUCUCAGAGACAUCGUCCACGAUCACAAAGACAUAGUCCAUGAUCACAGAGACUUUGUCCAUAAUCUCAGAGACAUUGUCCGCGAUCACAGAGACGUAGUCCACGAUCACAGAGAUAUAGUCCAAGAUCACAGAGAGUCUUCGUACAAUGAAGAAAUUCUUUCAUACCAAGACAGAGACCUCCAGGAGGAGAAGACGACAGCAGCUGAAGACCUGAAAUAGAUGAAAGAAAACAAAAGUGUUAUGAAGCUGUUAAUUAGAUAAAAGAGCUCCACCAUCUAACUGCUGUAAACUGUGUUGGUCUCCUGUUCUUCAAGUAAAAACACUUUGUGUUUCUCUACCAUAUGUAAUGCAGUCAUGGGCGCAAGACUAAUAUGUCUUUAUUAAACACCUGUGCUCAUAAAUACAUUAAUCCUAAUCAGCUCUAAUAAGUGUUUCCUUGUGGUCAACUGUCUGUCAUUAUCUUUGCUGUCAUUUGUUAAAUGUCCGGAAUAAAGUGUCUAACUUUCGAGUUGCACUUCUCUUUUUUGAAACUGAUGU